GGGUGGGGCCUAUAGCUCAGAGGAUGUGGCUAUGAACCACGAUGUCGGGGAUUCGAGUCCCUCCUCGCCCA
rnacentral:tRNA from 1 species